AGUCAGGGGAGAUUCUGAAGGUGGCGAAGGAACACACCAAACAGAUCAACGACAUCCAGACGUCUGUGGAUCUUACGAUGCUCAUCAGUGCCUCCAAAGACUGUACUGCCAAGAUGUUUGACUCCACAAACCUCGAACACAUCAAAACCUUCAA